CUAGAAUGUUCUGUUUAAUUAUCUAGCUGUUGAGCUUGGAUGGGUCCUUUAACCCCUCAGAGUUUCAGUUUUCUUAUUUAGUAAAAUGGGUAUAAUAUAAGGUGCAUCUUGCAGGGAAGAUGAAAAGACAGGUCUGGACAGUGGGUGAGGCAGCGGGGGAUCUGUUCCUGGAUAAGUGUUCACUGCAGGGAAGCAGGUGCUGGGAGUGAAAACCAAGCCCUGGGUUAAAUCCCAUUUCUCCCACUUGCUCUUUCUUUGGCCUUUGGUAACCUCUCUUCCCUCUCAGAGCCUCGCUUUUCUCAUCAAUGAUGUUGGGAAUCCCAGCAUCCUUCUUGCAAAGCUUUGCCGGCCCGAAGAGGCUCCCAGGCUAGGGAUCUAAUCGGAGCUGUUGCUGCUGGCCUACACCAGAGCCACAGCCACGCCAGAUCUGAGCUGUGUCUGCAACCUAUACCACAGCUCACGGCAAUGCCGGAUCCUUAACUCACUGAGCGAGGCCAGGGAUCAAACCCGCAACCUCAUGGUUCCUAGUCAGAUUCUUUUCUGCUGCGCCACGACGAUAACUCCAGAGGAAACUUUAAAAAGGUACCACCCUCCGGGCUUUGUACUCCAGCCUAGUGGAACUGAAGUCUUUGGGGGAGGAGGCUGGGAUCACUUUUUUAAAGUAUCCCCUGGGCUAAGAGGGAGGGCCCAUGGCUGACCUAAAGAGCAGGAACCAGAGAAGACAGCUAUUUCAUGGGCCCCACAUCAGCGCAAGGAGAUCAGAGAAGAAAUGUGAAUCCAACCUGGCCUUUUCAAUUUGUCCAUUCAGCUUACUGUGCUGGGCAGGUGCAUGAACAGGUAACUCUCAUCCUUCUUGUCGUGCAUCCCACUUCUUCACUUGGUGGCUGACUCGCUGGCUCAGCUUCCAAAGUGCAUCAUGAAGUUGGGUUAUCACAUGAGCCUUUCCUGUGCCUAAGGGUCCCUCGUGUCUGUGUUAUUAUGACUGAUUGGUGGGGGGGCACACCUGCAGCGUAUGGAAGUUCCUGGGCUGGGGGUCAAAUUAGAGCUGCAGCUGCCCAUCUACACCACAGCCACAUCAACGCCAGAUAUGAGCUGUGUCUGCAACUUAUACCGCAGCUCAUGGCAAUGCUGGAUCCUUAGCCCAUUGAAUGGGGCCAGGGAAUCCAUCCUUUGUCCUCAUGGAUACCAGCUGGGCGCAUUACUGCUGAGCCAUGACGGGAACUCCACCACCGAUGUUCUAAAACUACCCCACAACUUCCCCCUUGCUGAGGAGGUGGCAGGAUGGGGUGAUGCAGCCAGCCAGAUCAGUAAGGAAGGGCUUGACCAGCCCACAGCCCAGGAUGGAGCAGCACACUGGCCCCUCGGCCACUCAGGUCAAGCCUGGAAAUAGGAGCAUGACUUACUCACUUUGAUUUUUGAGCAGUUGAACAGAGGGCUUUCUUAAAUUCCUCGGAUCUCCCUCUGGAGAUGACCCCAAGCUUUACUGAGCUGUGAAUCACUGCUCAACACCUUUUUCUUUCUCUGCCUCCUUGGCAGUCUUGGAAGGACCUGAUUCAUUUCUUAGUUUUGACCCAGUGGACAAUAAAAAUGGGAAAAUCAAGGAUUUCUUAAAGCUGAGUUAAUCAUUGGCUACUUUGUGACACAAACUUUGACGUGAUGGAUUAACUAGUUGGGGAGAAUGGGUGGUUUUUAAAGCAUUUAAGCUGUAGCAUCUGCACUGAAUGAACUUGGGUUUAAUCAUGACCUCUGAGAGAAAGAAGGGCCCUGGACAUCAUUUGAUCUUAGCAUAUAGAAGAGGACACCUCAAGGGCUGGCAGAGGGAAGCCAUCAGCCUGAGUGUCAGGCUUGGUUGACCUGGGAACCAGAGGCUCGUUCCCAGAGUCCAGAAUCCUACUGUCUCUAUUACAGGCUUUUGGAAGUCACUGAGGAUCUGUGAACCACUUGUUUCUGCAUCUUCCAAUGAGAGGAGAGAUUCUCUAGCUUUCGUCCUGUUCUCAAAGUGGUCUU
rnacentral:lncRNA from 1 species